rnacentral:rRNA from 1 species
UACGUAGGGGGGCGAGCGUUGUCCGGAUUCAUUGGGCGUAAAGCGCGCGUAGGCGGCUCCGCAAGUCGGCCGUGAAAUCUCCGGGCUCAACUCGGAGGGGUCGGGCGAGACUGCGAGGCUCGAGGUGGGCAGAGGGCAGUGGAAUUCCGGGUGUAGUGGUGGAAUGCGUAGAGAUCCGGAGGAACACCAGUGGCGAAGGCGGCUGCCUGGGCCUGGCCUGACGCUGAGGCGCGAAAGCGUGGGGAGCGAACAGG